rnacentral:rRNA from 1 species
CAGGCGCGCAAAUUUCCCAAUGCUCAUCGAGCGAGGAAGUGACGAUCAAUAACAAUGUGCGACUUUUUAAAAGUUGUGCAAUUGGAAUGACUACAAUGUAAAGAGUUUAAGAAGGAUCAAUUGGAGGGCAAGUCUGGUGCCAGCAGCCGCGGUAAUUCCAGCUCCAAUAGGAUAUAUCAAUGCUGUUGCAGUUAAAAAGCUCGUAGUUGAAUUUCUGGAGGGUUUUGAUGUUUUUCAAAUGGAUUCGCAAGAGUUGAUUUGAAAAGCCACCCUUCAUAUUGUGGAUUUCCUAUUUUGUUUGUUAGUUUACUCUAAUGAAUAAAAUACCACUCGGUCACUGAGAGCAAAUUGGAGUGCUCAAAGCAGGCUUGAUAGCUUUGAACAUUUUAGCUUGGAAUGACAAGAUAUGACUUUUGUUUUAUUUUGUUGGUUAUGAAAUGAAAGUAAUGAUUAACAGGAACAGUUGCGGGGGUACUCGUAUUGAAAGGUCAGAGGUGAAAUUCUUGGAUUCUUUCAAGACGAACGACUGCGAAAGCAUUUACCAAGGAUGUUUUCAUUAAUCAAGAACGAAAGCUCGGGGAUCGAAGAUGAUUAGAUACCAUCGUAGUCCGACGCCAUAAACGAUGCCGACUCGGGAUUAGCUUUGUGUUCGUAUUUAAAAAAGAACCAAGCUAGC